AUUAGCAGCAAUUUCCCACCCCUGCCAACCUGGAGGUCCAUGAAGACCGGGACCAUAUCUUUUGACUUCAAAGCCGCGGCCUCGAUACCUAGCACGACACCCAGCACAGGUUCAACUUUUCAGGGAGCCCGAAGAUCUCCCAAUGUUGCCUAAUUCCGUUUCAAAGUCCACCUUGGACGAUAAGCAGCAAGUUUGGCCACCUAGGCAGCUGACCAAGGUCUAAAGGAGACCCUUCCUUUUAGAGGUUUGACGAGGCCACAUCCCAUCCUGGAGAUAACGUAACACUGAUUGAUUGAAAGGAAAUGGAGCAGCCCCGAUGGCCCAGCGGUUUGGCGCCGCCUUCAGCCCAGGGUGUGAUCCUGGAGACCCAGGAUCGAGUCCCACAUCGGGCUCCCUGCAUGGAGCCUGCUUCUCCCUCUG